AUACAUAUUUUAUGUUCUAUUGAUUUUUGCCAUAAAGACAAUAGUUUUUAAGAAAAAUGACGUUAAAUGUUCAAAGCUUCAUAAAACUCAUUUAACACAAUUCGAGUUUUGUUAGUUAAUUUUGUUAGUUAAUAAUGGAAGCGUGCGGCAAAGCUUGUUUUUCGCCUACGUGUUUUCUGUAUUACAUGAGUUUGCGACUUUCCACGCGUUACGAGGUUCACCCAUAUCCCUCUCUCCCCGCCUUGCUUACAAAGCAGAACGACGUCCACGCUUGUAUUGUACCACAUGGGUUUGCGACUUUAGAUUUGAAAUUGUGGCCAAAUAAUGACUUCAAAUUGUUUAGGUUAGGUUAGGUUAGGAAAAAAUAAGGGGCAGAGUGUAAGGGGAGGGGCGGAGGGAGAGGCUCCGCCUCUUCCCCGCUCACGUGUUUUUAGGUGCAGAAAACACGUACAGAAAACACGUGGACAAAGGAGGAGCUUUGCACCUUUUGGUAUUAAUAAAAUUAACUAAUAAAACUCGAAUUUUGGUAGAUUAGUUUUAUAAAGUUUUGAACAUUUAACAUCGUUUUUCUCAAAAACUAUUAAAUGUACAAAUAAGUUUCCGCCGUUUGACAAAAGUUGGCGCUACCAGUAAGUUAAGAUUAAAAUUGUCAGAUGAAAAUGCCAUUAUCGUAAGGUUGGUCAACAACAUAACCUUGAAAUAUUAAUAUCAUUAGUAAAUUUUUAUAAGUAUGAUAUAUUCUUUUGUGUGCGAAAAUGUUAAGUUUUGAGUCGAAUAAGCGUCAUUUGCGGGAACUUUUGAUUUACUUCUUCAAUUUGAAGAAAUCUGUGGCUGAGGCGCAUCGAUUGCUUGUAGAAGCAUAUGGUGAGGUUGCCUUAAGUGACAGAAGUUGUCGUGAGUGGUUCAAAAGUUUAAGAACGGUGAAUUUGACAUCGAAGACAAAGAACGUAGCGGAAGGCCGAAAGUGUACGAAGACGCGGAAUUGGAAGCAUUAUUGGAUCAAGAUUCGUGCCAAACGCAAGAAGAACUUGCAUUUACAUUCGGAGUGACAAGCAAUUUCAUAUUGGUUGAAAUCAUUGGGAAUAAUUCAAAAAUAGGGAAAUUGAGUUCCAUAUGAACUGACGCCGAGAAACGUUGAACGCCGAUUUUUCACAUGUAAAAUGCUGCUUGCCAGGCAUAAACGAAAGGGUUUUUGCACCGUAUAGUCUGGUGAUGAAAAAUGGAUUUACUGUGAUAAUCCAAAAAGGAAGAAAUCAUGGGGACCAUCUGGCCAUGCUUCAUCAUCUACAGCUAAGCCAUAUAUUCAUAGAAAGAAACUCUUGUUGUGUAUCAAGUGUAUCUGGUGGAAUCAGCUUGGUGUCGUGUAUUAUGAGUUGUUCAAACCGAACGAAACCAUUACUAGGGCUGUCUACCGAACCCAAUUGAUGAGAUUGAGUCGGGCACUCAAGGAAAAGCGCGUCCACUACUACUCCAGACAUGACAAAGUUAUUCUCUAUGAUAAUGUUUGUCUACAUGUUGCGGCGCCGGUCCAAAACCUAUUUGGAAACAUUCAAUUGUGAAGUUUUAUUUCACCCGUUGUAUUCACCAGACAUUGCUCCUUCUGAUUUCUACUUGUCUCGAUCGAUGACGCAUGGCCUGUCUGAGCAGCACUUUACAUCAUAUGAAGAUACCAAAAAUUUGUGGAUAGCCUUAAAAGAUGAAGCAUUCUUCCGACGCGGUAUCGCUGCCAGAAAGAUAGUGGCAAACGAUGGACAAUACUUCGAAUAAAACAUAAGGUUCCGUUCUUUUACAAUAAAUGCCCAAUUUUUGAUAAAAAAACGGCGGAAACUUAUUUGUACACCUAAUAUUGUCUUUAUGACAAAAAUUAACUGAACUUAAAAUGUGUAUUUCAAUGAGAUCUACAACUUUUAUCUGAAAUAUUUUUUGAAAUUUUUAUUAUUUACGGAAAUAAAUGGAAAAAAUCGUGAUUUUUAUGGUUUUCGCUAUGAAAAUCAAACUUGCGCUAAUUUUCACUAUCACAUUCGUAAUCAGUGUGCCAAAAUACGUAAGAAUACACAGUUUUAAAAAAGUCAGAGGUAUGUCGCUUUCGGAAGUUUAUCCAAUCAAUUUUUUAAAACAAUAUUUUAUAUAUGUAUUUUAUAAAUGUAUAAAUGUUUUUGAAUUGUUUUAUUUUAUAACGUAAUAUUUCUAAACAUAAUUAUUGUUUGGAAAUAUUUUUUUUUGCUUUAUUUAAAUAUUUUUUAUAUUAACGUUAUAUACAACGUUAAGAAUUAUUAUACAUAUUUGAAAACGUUACAUGCUGUUACGUCCGGCGGGGUUAGGAUUGCGAAGAACUUAAUUUUGGAACCCCUCCCUGCCGAGCGGUUACAGGGAGAGGGAGGAGUGAAUCAACAAUUGAAACACACCUGUGUGAAUUUUCCCUUUUUUAUUUUAUUACUAUUAUUGUUUUACAUUUAGCAAGGUUAGCCUUGCCGAGAUACAGGUCCCUGGAGCUAAAGGCUCGAUCGCCACGAUAACGGGUUUCGCGUAUUCCCGGUUCCGCGAGUCGUUUGACGCCGAUUGGCUGGUUCCUAUGGUGCUCGGAGUCGGUUCCACGGAGUUGAAAAGCUCUCGAGGAGAGGGUAGAGAAAGAGGCGGUAGAAAACGCUGGGAUCAAAUUCCCCGUGCACGGUGAGGUCCUCCAAUAUCCUUCUUAAUUGGACCCGUCGUCCACUUCGUCGAAAUCUUUCCAUUCUGUGACGGGAAAUGCCAUUUCGUUAACUAGUGCAAUUUUUAGAACCGCGUGACAUAGACAUUGAUAAUGAGCGGCGAUGCUUCACGCAACGCUUGAGUUUUCUUUGCUCGGAGGGUGCAGUAUCGCCCGAAGGCAUGGAUUGACGGGAGCAGGAGACAUAUACGUGUCACUAUACACGUGGGUGGAGACGCCUGGUUGCAGCGGCACAGAAGUGUCUGCUCUGUUGCUGUUGAGAAUGGCGGAACACUUUGUAGCGCGCCGGACCCCGCGCCUACGCUAAAGCCAGUGGCUUCGCAGAGGCGGUUGACGGGGAAGGAUAAACGCUAGUUAGCGCGCAUCUUCCCGCACCAUUGGCUGUCAGUCUCAUGUGGGAUGAGACUUGACGGGAGAGAGUAAGAGAGAGAGAGAACGCUAUUGUCCCAGGACCACCGAGGGAACGCUGAUAAGCGCUCGCUAGGAGGAGCCGGGAUUUUACUGCGCUCUUUAAGAGAACGCAGAGCAGCGCUCCCCGUCCCCUCUUACUGUCCGCAAGGGGUAUACCGAACCACUACCGAUCACGCACUGAGAGUCAGACGGAAAAGAAAAAAAAAGGAAAAGAAUAACUCUGCUUGAAAUUAAUGGUAACACUAGUUCACUUUAAUAAAGAGAAAUGAAUAAUUAAUGAAUAAUUAAUGAGAACUCGCACCUUUACAGCACUGUAUUUGCGCUAGAGUUCGAAUGUGCACGCGCAAUGCUCACAACGGUCGUUGUUCCGAUUCUAAUAAUAUUAAAGAAAUCGAAUUAAUAGAAUAAGAGAGGAGUUGUCACCUUGAAUCUUUCUCGAUAAUGCGAAUUUUCUAAAAUCAAAAGCGAAUUAAUCGAAAAUAUUCUAAGUUUAGAAAUCGAAAAUAUUCUAAGUUUGAAAAUCUGAAAUAUUCUAAGUUCAGAAAUUGAAAAUAUUCUAAUUUCGAAGAUCGAGUCUUACAGUUUUUUAGCGCGAGAGAAAGAGGCAAAAUCCCGAUUUUUGCCCGAAAAUCGCGGCUUAUAUACCCAAAAGUGGGGGCGCUCGGGGGCGAGGGCUAGGAAGACGAGACAAUAAAUCAUUUAUCGCUUGUCAUCACCUAAUUUGUUAAUUAAUUAAUUAUUUCACCUGGUUUUACAAUUGUUACUUGAGUUUUUAUGCCCGUAUUCACAUUUUCGACUCGCGCGACGCGCAACUAUUGCCUGCGUCUUUUAAUUGCGCGCAUUUCUUACUUAAGUUUCUUAUCGUAGGUUUGAAGAUAGGCGAUUUCGGCGGCACGGAACUACCGCGUGCUCCUCUUCGUGCUCGAAAUUAUUUAACAUUGUUUAUUAAUUAAAGAAGGCUACUAGCCCUUGCUGCUUCACAGCAAGUGAUCCCGCGCGAGUGCAGAUGCACCAGCGCGCAAGAGAGCGUCGACUUAUCCCUUCUUGGUAGUCAAUGGUUUUUCAAUUAAUGGAUUUAUUCAGUUAUUAUUGGCAAGCCAAGGGCCGAGGCGCCUUAGGAGAGGGCCGGUAAGUAGGAAGAUUGCCCCCUUGAUGGAAUAUUCGCGAUAGCUUCCGUGGUUCAUUAGCGUUAAUUGCUAGCAUAUGCGCCCCGCCGGAGUGAGGCCCACGCUCGUGAUAAAGCGGUCCCCGGUAUCGAACGCGCAUGAGUCUGCCCACUUACGAUUGCCAUGGUAACACGUCUUCGCGGCGCGACUCUUCAUAUGAUCGUGACGGCCGGCGCGAAAUGUUCAGACGGACGUAACAAUGUUAUAAAAUAUUGUAAUAAUAUUGUGUUAAUGAUAUCUCAUUUACUGGGCAGGUUCUUGAUAUAUAUAAUAAAUACUGGUUCUAGUAAAAAUUGGAGUAAAAUUAGUACAAAAUGAUACCAAUUGGAUUAAAAAUAAUUCAGUUGGCAUUAUUUUAUACUAAUUUUACUCCAAUUUCCCUACUUGAAAAAUUCUUGGUCAAUUCUCCAAUUUUCUUCUCCAAUUUUUGACUUCAAAAAAUAUAAAUUAAUUACAAUUUUAUUAACUUGAAUACUUCGAAUAUUUUCAUUUUUUUUGUCAAAUUUGUUUUGUUGAUGUUCUUAACUCUAUUUUAAUUUUUUGUCAUUUAAAGUUACCCUUGGAUGUUUUUAUUGUCCGGACAUAUAUAUGUUUUUUAUUGUAUUUAGAGUAUUUAUCUCGAUUAUUUUCUACCGUGCUUGCAUGUAUGCGUGCGAUUAUGUCAUAUUUUUUAGAACAAGAAGAAUAAUUUCUUUGAUGCAAGAAUGAAAUAAUCAAUAAAGAUCCUGUAAUGAAGUAAGGCAUUUUUAGAUGAGAUAUUUAGUGAUAAAAACACAAUAUUUUUAAAAUCUAUUGGUUGAAAGUACUCUAAAGAAAUUUUAGAAGUGUAAAAAAUCAUACAAUUCCAGGAAUGCCAACAUUAGUUAAUUCAGGAAAAGCAUUAAAUGUUACACAAUUCUUUAUUGAAGAUUUAAACUUUUGUAUUUGUAAAAGAACUCAGUAACAUAUAUAAUAUCAAUCAAAUGUCUGCGCAUAAAAUUUUGAAACAUUCAAUUUUAUACAAAAUUUAUGUUGCGCAAAAGAUGAAUGAUAUUGAUUUUAAUCGUCGCAUCAAAUUUUGGGAACAGUGAUGCAAAGAAUUUAACUUUCUUUUAUAGUUGUUUUGAAUGAAACAAUUUUUUAAUUAAAUGAUUACUUCAACGAACACAACUGUAGAAUUUGUCUCAUGCUAAUUUUUACUGAACGCUAAAGGCACACACAAUAUUUAGAAAAAUUAAAUAUUUUGUACAGGUGUUUUAAGUACUGUUAUAUUGGACUAUUGUGUUAUUGAUGACAAUUGAACAGCAACGAAGUAUGAAAAUAUGUUGAGAAAUACUUUCAGCAGUAAUUUCAAUCGUGGGUAAGAACUUUAAGCGGACAUGGUUCCACUAGAACAGUGUUUUUACAGUCUAUAAAAAAAUAUAAUCAAACAGUAAAUCAGCCAUUCGAAAUGAUCAUUCAAUCAUUCCUCCCUUAUUUAUUUAUCGAUUAAGUAAAACUGUAUUAAAAUAAUAAAGAACGUUUGUAUUAAAAUACAAUCCUUCCAGAUCCUUCCUUUUAGGAUCAUAUUUUGGUAGAAACAUUUGGUUUGAUUAUUUGAACAGCUAAUCGAUAGAUACAUAAAGUAUAAUUGAGUGACUAUCUUCAGCGGUUGAUUUAUUGCCGUUUGAUUACUUUUUGUGGGAUUAUCUAAAGAAUAAAAUGUACAAAACAUGUUUUGUCGUGGAAUCUUAAAAGAAGCUAUGGUUUAUUUCUAAUUAUUACAUCAGAAAUGUCAUGCAAUUAUUUUGUAAUUAAAUAGCAUGUUGUCAAAUCAAGAUGUAAUUUGAAUAAUGAUUAUAAUAAGUUAAUUAUUACAUUUUGAUUAAGAAUCAAUUUCUUCUUUGACAUUCUUAUAACCAUUACAUUUCAUUAGCUAAAUCAUCCUUCUAUUUUCAUUGAUUAAAUUAUUUGUUGACCUUGCUUUUGCUGGCUGGAACAUCCAACGAUUUUUUCUUUAUUAGCUGAACGUCUUUCCAAAGUAAAAAAAUUUGAUAAAACAAAUCUCAAGAAGGGCUGUAAGAAUAUGUGCAAUAAAAAAUAAGGUUUUAAUUUUAAAAAGUUUAAAGUGACGUCGCACUGACUGUGACAACGCCACUCAACUGAUCAGUUAACAGAUCUUGAAUCCUACAAUUUUUAUUUGAAAUAUUUUUUGAUAAAACUUAUGUUUUUUGAGGUUUCUAACGUAUUUUUGGUUUGUAUUUCUACGACCACUUUUUGUGGAGAUACAUGGAUUUGAAUAUAACCUAAAUUUUUCUUACAUUUUAAAUGUACCGCUUUUUGGAAGACUGAGUGUAUAUGUAUAUAUAAAUCAGGAUCUUGAAAAAUAUGGUACGUGCAUUCGUGCCUGCGUGCGUGCGUGUAUGUGUGUGUGUGUGCGUGUGUGCGUAUACUCUUAUCUGCACUUAUUGACAUUUUACUUGAGAUUUAAGUUUCUUUAUGUUGAAGUCUUUAAGAUUUUAGUGAGCGAAAA